GACAGAGGUGCCAAGCGUUUAGGCGGAAUCACUGGGCUUAAAGCGUGUGUAGGCGGGUCGUUAAGUACCUUGUGAAAUCCCACGGCUCAACCGUGGAACUGCUCGGUAUACUGGCGAUCUUGGGCCACUUAGGGGCUAGCGGAACAAACAGGUGGAGCGGUGAAAUGACGUAGAUAUCGUUUGGAACGCCAAUGGUGAAAACAGCUAGCUGGGAGUGUGCCGACGCUGAGACACGAAAGCCAGGGGAGCGAACGGG
rnacentral:rRNA from 1 species